AAGAUUUUAAGUUAAUUAAACUAGCACCCUUCAAAGAUGCCUAUAAAAGAAACUCUUUUAAAUCUUA
rnacentral:tRNA from 1 species